AGAACACAAUGGUCAGAGCAUCAAUGGCUACAGGUUUUUGGCUGGUGCCUGAAUAUGUAUACAUGGCAGUAGAGUAGACAUUUCUUAAAGGGUUACACCCCCGCCCUACAUUUUCCAUAGAUGCGAGGGGGAGUAACAUCAAGGAAGGCUUCAGGGAGAACUUUGUUUCAGCACUGGAUUACAGCUUAAAGGAACACUCUAG